rnacentral:piRNA from 1 species
UAGGUCUCACGAGAUCUGAUGGGUUAUC